rnacentral:rRNA from 1 species
GCCAGCAGCCGCGGUAACACCGGCGGCCCGAGUGGUGAUCGUGAUUAUUGGGUCUAAAGGGUCCGUAGCCGGUUUGGUCAGUCCUCCGGGAAAUCUGAUAGCUCAACUAUUAGGCUUUCGGGGGAUACUGCCAGACUUGGAACCGGGAGAGGUAAGAGGUACUACAGGGGUAGGAGUGAAAUCUUGUAAUCCCUGUGGGACCACCUGUGGCGAAGGCGUCUUACCAGAACGGGUUCGACGGUGAGGGACGAAAGCUGGGGGCACGAACCGGAUUAGAUACCCGGGUAGUCCCAGCCGUAAACGAUGCUCGCUAGGUGUCAGGCAUGGCGCGACCGUGUCUGGUGCCGCAGGGAAGCCGUGAAGCGAGCCACCUGGGAAGUACGGCCGCAAGGCUGAAACUUAAAGGAAUUGGCGGGGGAGCACAACAACGGGUGGAAGCCUGCGGUUUAAUUGGACUCAACGCCGGACAACUCACCGGGGGCGACAGCAAUAUGUAGGCCAAGCUGAAGACUUUGCCUGAAUCGCUGAGAAGUGGUGCAUGG